rnacentral:rRNA from 1 species
GACGAACGCUGGCGGCGUGCUUAACACAUGCAAGUCGAACGGAAAGGCCCUGCUUUUGUGGGGUGCUCGAGUGGCGAACGGGUGAGUAACACGUGAGUAACCUGCCCUUGACUUUGGGAUAGCUUCAGGAAACUGGGGCUAAUACCGGAUAGGAGCUCCUGCUGCAUGGUGGGGGUUGGAAAGUUUCGGCGGUUGGGGAUGGACUCGCGGCUUAUCAGCUUGUUGGUGGGGUAGUGGCUUACCAAGGCUUUGACGGGUAGCCGGCCUGAGAGGGUGACCGGCCACAUUGGGACUGAGAUACGGCCCAGACUCCUACGGGAGGCAGCAGUGGGGAAUAUUGCACAAUGGGCGGAAGCCUGAUGCAGCAACGCCGCGUGCGAGAUGACGGCCUUCGGGUUGUAAACCGCUUUCGCCUGUGACGAAGCGUGAGUGACGGUAAUGGGUAAAGAAGCACCGGCUAACUACGUG